rnacentral:rRNA from 1 species
UCCUGGCUCAGAUUGAACGCUGGCGGCAUGCUUUACACAUGCAAGCGAACGGCAGCGGGGGCUUCGGCCUGCCGGCGAGUGGCGAACGGGUGAGUAAUGCAUCGGAACGUGCCCAUGUCGUGGGGGAUAACGUAGCGAAAGCUACGCUAAUACCGCAUACGCCCUGAGGGGGAAAGCGGGGGAUUCUUCGGAACCUCGCGCGAUUGGAGCGGCCGAUGUCGGAUUAGCUAGUAGGUGAGGUAAAGGCUCACCUAGGCGACGAUCCGUAGCGGGUCUGAGAGGAUGAUCCGCCACACUGGGACUGAGACACGGCCCAGACUCCUACGGGAGGCAGCAGUGGGGAAUUUUGGACAAUGGGCGCAAGCCUGAUCCAGCCAUGCCGCGUGAGUGAAGAAGGCCUCGGUGUAAG